AGGUAACGCGUGAGGAACCUGCCUCAAAGAGGGGGACAACAGUUGGAAACGACUGCUAAUACCGCAUAAGCCCACAGCUCGGCAUCGAGCAGAGGGAAAAGGAGUGAUCCGCUUUGAGAUGGCCUCGCGUCCGAUUAGCUAGUUGGUGAGGUAAUGGCCCACCAAGGCGACGAUCGGUAGCCGGACUGAGAGGUUGAACGGCCACAUUGGGACUGAGACACGGCCCAG
rnacentral:rRNA from 1 species